AAGGCCGCAAGAACCGACUCAUUACUCGAGAAAGCUAGCCGAAUAUCCGAAACCAAAAUACUAAUAUUGUCUGUGGUACUACGGCCUUUUCUGAAUCCCAGCUGAUUAGCUGUCAAAAUAUUAUUAUUUUCAAUGAAAAAUUCUAACCUGUUUUUAACAAGAUGCUCAGCUAUUUUAGCAAGAACAGAGGAUAGGGCUAUUGGGCGAAAAGAAGAAACAUCAGAGGCUGGUUUGUUUGGUUUUAAUAUGGGAAUUAUAGCUUGGGUUUUCCAAGAAGAAGGAAUAUUACCAGACAACACAAUGGCAUUAAUAAUACUCAAAUAGUAGUUCAAGGAAGCGACACUGCUGUUUAUUAAGAAAGAAUUGUGGAGGAGAGGUAGCAGCUACAUCAGCAUAAGACUUUGAUGUAGAAGGGGGAUGGACUUUAGCCGCCUCUGCAUAUGAUAUGCAGCUCUGGGCCAUUGAAAUUUUGAUUUUCUGCUGUCUAGAAAAUUCUGGACACAACUUACUAGUCGUAAAGUGGCGACCUGUGCAAUGAAGACAACGAGCAUUAUCAGAGACAACGGCACAAGUGUCUGAGGGGUGUUCAUCCCCACACUUAAAGCAACGGGGCUUGGAUCUGCAUUGAAUUUUAGUGUGGCCAAAUUUGCAACAAUUGUAGCACUGGAUGGUUGGGAAAAUAUAUAAUUCAACAGGGAGUGCUGUAUAACACAUGUAAACCCUUUUUGGUAAAAUUUGACCAUCAAACGUCAAUACAACCAUGUUUGUAUUUGAAAAUAAAGCUGUACCAUCAGUAA